rnacentral:rRNA from 1 species
UUCCGGUUGAUCCCGCCGGACCUGACUGCUAUCGGAUUGAUACUAAGCCAUGCGAGUCUUUGUAGCAAUACAAGGCAGACGGCUCAGUAACGCGUAGUCAACCUACCCUAUGGACGGGAAUAACCUCGGGAAACUGAGUAUAAUGCCCGAUAGAACAUUAUGCCUGGAAGGGUUUAUGUUCCAAAUGAUUUAUCGCCGUAGGAUGGGACUGCGGCCUAUCAGUUUGUUGGUGAGGUAAUGGCCCACCAAGACUAUUACAGGUACGGGCUCUGAGAGGAGUAGCCCGGAGAUGGGUACUGAGACACGGACCCAGGCCCUAUGGGGCGCAGCAGGCGAGAAAACUUUGCAAUGUGCGAAAGCACGACAAGGUUAAUCCGAGUGGUUUCUGCUAAAGGAACCUUUUGUCAGUCGUAAAACCACUAACGAAUAAGGGGUGGGCAAGUUCUGGUGUCAGCCGCCGCGGUAAAACCAGCACCUCAAGUGGUCAGGAUGAUUAUUGGGCCUAAAGCAUCCGUAGCCUGCUCUGUAAGUUUUCGGUUAAAUCUGUAUGCUCAACAUACAGGCUGCCGGGAAUACUGCAGAGCUAGGGAGUGGGAGAGGUAGACGGUACUCGGGAGGAAGUGGUAAAAUGCUUUGAUCUCUCGAUGACCACCUGUGGCGAAGGCGGUCUACCAGAACACGUCCGACGGUGAGGGAUGAAAGCUGGGGGAGCAAACCGGAUUAGAUACCCGGGUAGUCCCAGCUGUAAACUAUGCAAACUCAGUGAUGCAUUGGCUUGUGGCCAAUGCAGUGUUGCAGGGAAGCCGUUAAGUUUGCCGCCUGGGAAGUACGUACGCAAGUAUGAAACUUAAAGGAAUUGGCGGGGGAGCACCACAAGGGGUGAAGCCUGCGGUUCAAUUGGAAUCAACGCCGGG